GCUUGCUCCCGGAUGUUAGCGGCGGACGGGUGAGUAACACGUGGGUAACCUGCCUGUAAGACUGGGAUAACUCCGGGAAACCGGAGCUAAUACCGGAUAGUUCCUUGAACCGCAUGGUUCAAGGAUGAAAGACGGUUUCGGCUGUCACUUACAGAUGGACCCGCGGCGCAUUAGCUAGUUGGUGGGGUAAUGGCUCACCAAGGCGACGAUGCGUAGCCGACCUGAGAGGGUGAUCGGCCACACUGGGACUGAGACACGGCCCAGACUCCUACGGGAGGCAGCAGUAGGGAAUCUUCCGCAAUGGACGAAAGUCUGACGGAGCAACGCCGCGUGAGUGAUGAAGGUUUUCGGAUCGUAAAGCUCUGUUGUUAGGGAAGAACAAGUGCGAGAGUAACUGCUCGCACCUUGACGGUACCUAACCAGAAAGCCACGGCUAACUACGUGCCAGCAGCCGCGGUAAUACGUAGGUGGCAAGCGUUGUCCGGAAUUAUUGGGCGUAAAGGGCUCGCAGGCGGUUUCUUAAGUCUGAUGUGAAAGCCCCCGGCUCAACCGGGGAGGGUCAUUGGAAACUGGGAAACUUGAGUGCAGAAGAGGAGAGUGGAAUUCCACGUGUAGCGGUGAAAUGCGUAGAGAUGUGGAGGAACACCA
rnacentral:rRNA from 1 species